GAUGAACGCUAGCGGCAGGCUUAACACAUGCAAGUCGAGGGGUAUAUGAUGCUUGCAUCAUAGAGACCGGCGCACGGGUGCGUAACGCGUAUGCAAUCUACCUUAUACAGGGGAAUAGCCCAGGGAAACUUGGAUUAAUACCCCAUAGUCUCGCAAGAGUAAAGGUGGCGUAAGCUGCCGCUGAAGGAUUGGUUCGCGCCCUAUCAGCUUGUUGGUGAGGUAACGGCUCACCAAGGCUACGACGGGUACCUGGUCUGAGAGGACGAUCAGGCACACUGGAACUGAGACACGGUCCAGACACCUACGGGUGGCAGCAGUCGAGAAUAAUUCACAAUGGGGGCAACCCUGAUGGUGCAACGCCGCGUGGAGGAUGACGGUCUUCGGAUUGUAAACUCCUGUCAUCUGGGAGAAAGACCUGGCCGUUAAUAGCGGACAGGGUUGAUAGUAC
rnacentral:rRNA from 1 species